rnacentral:rRNA from 1 species
UGGAUAACCGUGGUAAUUCUAGAGCUAAUACAUGCUAAAAACCCCGACUCACGGAGGGGUGUAUUUAUUAGAUUAAAAACCAAUGCCCUUCUGGGCUUCCUGGUGAUUCAUAAUAACUUCGCGGAUCGCACGGCCUUGCGCCGGCGAUGGUUCAUUCAAAUUUCUGCCCUAUCAACUUUCGAUGGCUGGGUCUUGGCCAGCCAUGGUGACAACGGGUAACGGAGGGUUAGGGCUCGACCCCGGAGAGGGGGCCUGAGAGAUGGCCACCACAUCCAAGGAAGGCAGCAGGCGCGCAAAUUACCCAAUGCUGACACAGCGAGGUAGUGACAAUACAUACUGAUACAGGGCUCUUUUGGGUCUUGUAAUUGGAAUGAGUACAAUUUAAAUCCCUUAACGAGGAACAAUUGGAGGGCAAGUCUGGUGCCAGCAGCCGCGGUAAUUCCAGCUCCAAUAGCGUAUAUUAAUGUUGUUGAGGUUAAAAAGCUCGUAGUUGAACCUUGGGCCUGGCUGGCCGGUCCGCCUCACCGCGUGCACUGGUCCGGCCGGGUCUUUCCCUCUGGGGAGCCGCAUGCCCUUUAGUGGGUGUGUCGGGGAACCAGGACUUUUACUCUGAACAAAUCAGAUCGCUUAAAGAAGGCCUAUGCUCGAAUGUUCUAGCAUGGAAUAAUAGAAUAGGACGUGUGGUUCUAUUUUGUUGGUUUCUAGGACCGCCGUAAUGAUUAAUAGGGACAGUCGGGGGCAUCAGUAUUCAAUUGUCAGAGGUGAAAUUCUUGGAUUUAUUGAAGACUAACUACUGCGAAAGCAUUUGCCAAGGAUGUUUUCAUUAAUCAGGAACGAAAGUUAGGGGAUCGAAGACGAUCAGAUACCGUCGUAGUCUUAACCAUAAA